rnacentral:rRNA from 1 species
UGAGCGUCAGUCUUUGUCCAGGGGGCCGCCUUCGCCACCGGUAUUCCUCCAGAUCUCUACGCAUUUCACCGCUACACCUGGAAUUCUACCCCCCUCUACAAGACUCAAGCCUGCCAGUUUCGAAUGCAGUUCCCAGGUUGAGCCCGGGGAUUUCACAUCCGACUUGACAGACCGCCUGCGUGCGCUUUACGCCCAGUAAUUCCGAUUAACGCUUGCACCCUCCGUAUUACCGCGGCUGCUGGCACGGAGUUAGCCGGUGCUUCUUCUGCGAGUAACGUCAAUCGACACGGUUAUUAACCGUAUCGCCUUCCUCCUCGCUGAAAGUACUUUACAACCCGAAGGCCUUCUUCAUACACGCGGCAUGGCUGCAUCAGGCUUGCGCCCAUUGUGCAAUAUUCCCCACUGCUGCCUCCCGUAGGAGUCUGGACCGUGUCUCAGUUCCAGUGUGGCUGGUCAUCCUCUCAGACCAGCUAGGGAUCGUCGCCUAGGUGAGCCGUUACCCCACCUACUAGCUAAUCCCAUCUGGGCACAUCUGAUGGCAAGAGGCCCGAAGGUCCCCCUCUUUGGUCUUGCGACGUUAUGCGGUAUUAGCUACCGUUUCCAGUAGUUAUCCCCCUCCAUCAGGCAGUUUCCCAGACAUUACUCACCCGUCCGCCACUCGUCACCCGAGAGCAAGCUCUCUGUGCUACCGUUCGACUUGCAUGUGUUAGGCCUGCCGCCAGCGUUCAAU